rnacentral:lncRNA from 1 species
AUAAUUGGUGUACUGUAUCUUCAAAAGGUUAAAACCUCUUUCAAAAAAAAAAAAAGGCCUGGACUCAUAGUGGAAAAGACAAGCCAGGCUUCGGUUGGCUCUGGAUUCAGAAAACAGCUGCUGAUUAGAUUCUGCGUCUGCAGGCUGAAUUCAUUCCGUGUUUUUCAGCAGCAGGAAUUUGAGAGGGAUGCUUCUGUUUGGGUUUCUGAUCGUGAUUUAUAUUUAUUCAGAGGAAUAACAGAGGAUGGAUUUGUUCCCGGCCGGAGCAUGCUCACAACCAACAGGCUCUCCCAUGAUCCCACUGCUUAGUUUGGUGCUCUAAUGUGUUAAUGAAAAAAUGCACACAAUCCUGACAGAUGGGACUGGUUCCUGAAGGAGGGACGGCCAGCUCGGUGUUUCAGAGACCACAGGACCAGCUUCCCAUCCAGAGCAAAGUUACCGUAUGGCAGCUACACAUGGAAUACAGCAGUUUCUGAAGAACUAAAAAUAAACAUCACCCAGAGGGUAAUGGAAAGCUUUUAUGGUAUGUGUGAGCAAUCUGCAACCUAGAACCAAUGAGGAACUUCAGAGAAGAACAGAAGUAAAAGAUCUGGGGCUGGUAAACUGGUUUCCUGUUUUGUUGCAAAAUGGGUGGUUGUUGCUGUCUGAGGCUGCCCUGGCCCCCUGGCUGGCCUACACAGGCUUCCUGACAUCCAGGGGUAUGUGCUUUUGGGGUACAGGGGAGGGUGGGGCCUGCACCAGCUGGAUUUCACAGUUCCUAUCCUUGGUUUUCUCUUCCGUUUCUAUUUUACGGAAUACCUGAGAGGGACCCUGAAGAGACAGGAAAACACUUUCCUUUCCUGGCAAGGCCAAACUUUUUGUUGCAUCAUAUUUAUCUUUGCAAGUGUCCACCUUUACUAAGCGCAUCCUCAUUUGGUAGAUAAUGAAACUGGGGUACAGGGAGGCCAAAAUACAGCAUGAGGGUGGAAGAAGAAUCUUAGGUUUAUGUCACGGAGCUGGAAGGGACCUUAGAGAACAUUGAAUCCAACCUCAUUUUUCAGAAGAGACUCCCAAGAUAAAGGCAAUGACUUUCUCAAGGUCAUGGAGCAAGUUAGUGCCUCAAAUGGUCUUGUUGUUGGCAAGACAAUGAAUUCCAUUUGGCACAUGCUGGUAAAACUGUGUGAGCUCACAUGGACAGGGGGGCAGGCUGCUGAGAAGGCAGCUCAGCUGUGUGCUUUACAUUUGCAAAUACUGAUUAAGAAGAAGGGUGUGGCUGGCAAUAAUACAUUUAAGCUUUCCUGUAAAUGGAGAUCCCUUUACCCCCAAAUGUCUCCCUAGAUAGCCUGGUACUAGAUAUUAUGCCAUUAGCCAGGCAUUGCUUCGGCUGAACACUACCUCACAGAAUCGUUGCAAGGAGGGUCACUUUGCAAACAUUAAAGUGACAUAUAAAUGUGAUUCUUCAUCUCUGUUAUUAAUGUCAUUCCAAGGCCUUGAAGACCCCUGUCAAAAUGUUCCUGUGUCAUUUGGGAGGCAGGGAGGGACCCUUCAAUUCAAGUUCCUUUUGUUUCUUGAGCCCAGGGAUAACAGAGUUGCAGGUAGAUGGAUUUUUGUGAGGCAAGAGAGGCCACAGUGGAAAGGAAAGGAGGAGAAUGCCCCUUAAAUACAAGAGUCAGGUCUAGUGGGGAGGAAGUUCUAAGGAUGUUAGAAAUAAGAAUGAUAUUAAAAGAGGUAAAAAGUGGGUCAAAUAGGUGACUCAGUGUAUGGAGAGCCAGACCUGGAAAUGGGAGGUCCUGAGUUCAAAUUUGGCUUCAGACGCUUUCUAAAUAUAUGCCCCUGGACAAUUCACUUGACCCCAAUUGCCUAGCCCUUAUUGUUCUUCUGCCUUGCAACUGAUGCUUGGUACAGAUUUUAAGGCAGAAAGUAAGGGUUUAAAAAAAAGAAGUGGAAGAUGUAGAAUGGAUUCAAAACUCCUUUGCCUGGCAUUCAAGGACCUCCACAAUUGGUCUACAAAACUCUUUCCAGAUUUAUCUCACCUCGCUACCCUAUAUCACCUUUGUUCCAACUGGUCUGACUCACUCCCUGUUCUCAAAAUAGACCCAGUGCUUUCUUGCCUUUCCUGUUGCCUCCACAUAGAAUGAUCUUUCUGUCCAUUUCCUACCUAUCCUUCAAAGCCUAAUGUCAAUAUUACCACUUCCAUGAAGUCUUCCCUGAUCUUCUCAGUAAGAAAUUGUUUCUCUUUCCUCUGAAAUACAGUAACACUUGGUUUGGAUCUCUGUUAUGGCUCUGAUCACAUGAUAAUUUAUAAUAAUUUUUGUAUACCUGCCGAUCCUCUGAGUAGUAAAAAGAAUAGUCAUUCACAUGUACCUUAAAUUUUAAGAUGUGCAGAUCAUGUUUUACAUCUCUGGAAAUCAGGUAGGGCAAGUGUUAUGAUCCCCAUUUUAGGGAAGAAGAAACUGAGGCUGAGAGAUUGAAUUACUUGACCAUAGUCACAUGGGUAACAGUAAUCACAACCAGAUCUUGGACCUUUGUUUUUUGCCUCUGAGAUAAUAAACUGCUUAGAUUUAGAGCUGGAAAGGCCUUU